rnacentral:rRNA from 1 species
UACGUAGGGGCGAGCGUUGUCCGGAGUUACUGGGCGUAAAGGGCCAGUAGGCGGCCAACUAAGUCCGACGUGAAAUCCCCAGGCUUAACCUGGGAACUGCGUCGGAUACUGGAUGGCUUGAAUUCGGGAGAGGGAUGCAGAAUUCCAGGUGUAGCGGUGAAAUGCGUAGAUAUCUGGAGGAAUACCGGUGGCGAAGGCGGCAUCCUGGACCGACAUUGACGCUGAACGGCGAAAGCUAGGGAGCAAACGGG